UGGCUCAGGAUGAACGCUAGCUACAGGCUUAACACAUGCAAGUCGAGGGGCAGCAUUUUAGUUUGCUUGCAAACUGAAGAUGGCGACCGGCGCACGGGUGAGUAACACGUAUCCAACCUGCCGAUAACUCCGGGAUAGCCUUUCGAAAGAAAGAUUAAUACCGGAUAGCAUACGAAUAUCGCAUGAUAUUUUUAUUAAAGAAUUUCGGUUAUCGAUGGGGAUGCGUUCCAUUAGUUUGUUGGCGGGGUAACGGCCCACCAAGACUACGAUGGAUAGGGGUUCCGAGAGGAAGGUCCCCCACAUUGGAACUGAGACACGGUCCAAACUCCUACGGGAGGCAGCAGUGAGGAAUAUUGGUCAAUGGGCGCGAGCCUGAACCAGCCAAGUAGCGUGAAGGAUGAAGGCUCUAUGGGUCGUAAACUUCUUUUAUAUGGGAAUAAAGUUUUCCACGUGUGGAAUUUUGUAUGUACCAUAUGAAUAAAGAUCGGCUAACUCCGUGCCAGCAGCCGCGGUAAUACGGAGGAUCCGAGCGUUAUCCGGAUUUAUUGGGUUUAAAGGGAGCGUAGGUGGAUUGUUAAGUCAGUUGUGAAAAUUUGCGGCUCAACCGUAAAAUUGCAGUUGAAACUGGCAGUCUUGAGUACAGUAGAGGUGGGCGGAAUUCGUGGUGUAGCGGUGAAAUGCUUAGAUAUCACGAAGAACUCCGAUUGCGAAGGCAGCUCACUAGACUGUCACUGACACUGAUGCUCGAAAGUGUGGGUAUCAAACAGGAUUAGAUACCCUGGUAGUCCACACAGUAAACGAUGAAUACUCGCUGUAUGCGAUAUACAGUAAGCGGCCAAGCGAAAGCAUUAAGUAUUCCACCGGGGGAGUACGCCGGCAACGGUGAAACUCAAAGGAAUUGACGGGGGCCCGCACAAGCGGAGGAACAUGUGGUUUAAUUCGAUGAUACGCGAGGAACCUUACCCGGGUUUGAAAGCAUUUCGACCGCUCUGGAAACAGAGCCUCUAGCAAUAGCGAUUUGCGAGGUGCUGCAUGGUUGUCGUCAGCUCGUGCCGUGAGGUGUCGGCUUAAGUGCCAUAACGAGCGCAACCCUUGCCACUAGUUACUAACAGGUAAAGCUGAGGACUCUGGUGGGACUGCCAGCGUAAGCUGCGAGGAAGGCGGGGAUGACGUCAAAUCAGCACGGCCCUUACAUCCGGGGCGACACACGUGUUACAAUGGCGUGGACAAAGGGAUGCCACCUGGCGACAGGGAGCGAAUCCCCAAACCACGUCUCAGUUCGGAUCGGAGUCUGCAACCCGACUCCGUGAAGCUGGAUUCGCUAGUAAUCGCGCAUCAGCCAUGGCGCGGUGAAUACGU
rnacentral:rRNA from 1 species